GCCCCUGGAAAUGAUCCAGCUCCCUAGGCACCUUCCUGACUCUGGUUACUCAAAAUAUUGAUCAUGUGUGGACUGGGGGCAGAGCAGAGAAGAGAGACAGAGGAGUAGAACUGAAUGAAAUUCACCCAGAAUUCUCCCAUCAAAAUAUAUCUAUAUGUAAAUUAUUUUAGGUGUAGCAUUGAUGAGAAUCACUUUGGAGAAACAGAAGUUUCUUUGCAAUCCCACAGUGGUAUGGGGAAAGAGAACAAGGUCUUUACCAUCUUAGCUCAGCCUGAUCUGAGCAGGUGUGCUGUAGAGGGGCAGAGAGGCUGUGAGCUAGGCUGGGGAAGGGGACCCAGCUGUUCCCAAGUGCCCCUGUGAGUAUCGAGUCCGCCGGCUGAGAUGUGGGUCCAGCUCUGCACUUCCUCUCUGGCUGUGACAUCUUGGGGAGCUGCUUACCUUCUGGGGACUCUAGCUGGGGAUGAUGAUACCUUCCUGGCAAUUUGUGUUGACAACUAAGAAGAUGUAUCUGAGCGGUGUUUGGUGAACCCAAAACAACAGAACAUAGAAAAGUAGAAAAACUACUCUACUGAUCAUCCCCUGGGCUGUGUGGAGGGGCUUCCAUCAGAGCUGACUGGAGGGUGAGGUGGUUCUGGUCAAUGAAGCAAAAGAAAAGAGAAUUUAAUGGAGAAAGUAACCAGUUCCUGGAAUGCCUUCAUUCCUAAUAUCCUGAAGUUCUGCAUGUGACCACAGGUCUGUAACUGAUUCUGAAACUAGGCCAGGGAACACUUGCAGCUGAUAAAAGUGGGAAGACAACGAAGCUGUGGGGAGCACCUCCCUGUGCAGCCACUAAAUGAGGGUGUGGACUCCAGAGACUGCUGGCUUCAAGGCUCCACAGAAAUCAACAAUACUGCAAUUCAUAUUUUUUGCCUCUGAGAAACAAAAGGCAUUAACCAUAAAUGAGAAUUACUGACGUUUUCCAAAUCAUGGAAGACAAGUUCAAGGUUGCCUAGCCACCUGCCUUCUUAGAGCACAGACAUAAAUAGAAACUCCACAGUGUCACCUCCCUGAGAAGUAGUUAAUAAACCCUCCUUAUC